rnacentral:rRNA from 1 species
AUGAGAGGCCUCAUUUGGAACUGCAGAGGGGUGGGCAAGAAGGGAAUGGCCACCUGCCUCUCUGACAUAAUUAGUGACCAUUUCAUUGACUUCCUGGGUUUGCAAGAGACUCUGAAGAGAGAUUUUCCCCCUAAACUUACCAGGAAAUUUGACCCCUUUGGCACCUUCCAUUGGGAAUGGGUGUCUGUUGUGGGUAGAUCUGGUGGUAUUUUGUGUGGC